UACGUAGGGUGCAAGCGUUGUCCGGAAUUAUUUGGCGUAAAGAGCUCGUAGGCGGUUCGUCGCGUCGGCUGUGAAAACCCGGAGCUCAACUCCGGGCCUGCAGUCGAUACGGGCGGACUUGAGUGUUGCAGGGGAGACUGGAAUUCCUGGUGUAGCGGUGAAAUGCGCAGAUAUCAGGAGGAACACCGGUGGCGAAGGCGGGUCUCUGGGCCGAUAUUGACGCUGAGGAGCGAAAGCGUGGGGAGCGAACAGG
rnacentral:rRNA from 1 species